rnacentral:hammerhead_ribozyme from 1 species
AUUAAAGCAGACGAGUCUCAAAUAGGACGAAACACGCGUCCUUGAU